rnacentral:lncRNA from 1 species
CGUGAGUUCCCUAACUGGCUUACCUUUUUCUUCCUGACUCCUCCAAUAACCAUUCUCUCUCUAAAAAACGCGCAGAAGAAUAUUUCAAUGGCCAGAGAGUUGCAUAUCAGGCUUGUUCAUAGUUCUUGUUCUUUUCUUUUUUGCUUUUAUGAAAUUCUUCAUAUGUCAUAUUUAAUUUCAACUGAUGAUGAACAUCUGAAUUUUAAUUCUCUGUUACGUUUGUGUUUUGAUCUUCUUUAGAUCGGAUUUAAAGCCUCAUCUUUUAUCCGCACUUGAGAACGGUUCCUGAUCCUCUUUAUAUUAUUUGAUAUUUAGAAAUUCUUGUUUCUCCAAGUUAAUAUAUAAAACCCUUGUGUUUCUUGGUGGAUUAAUAUAACUGAUCAGCAACAAAAGAAGAUAAUAUCACUCGAUGCUGGAACCCGAUCGAAUAUUAAUUUAACUUAAGAACUUCUGCGUUUUAUUUAUUCUGUUAUUUUUAUGGUCAUUUGCUAUGAUUGAGAUAUAUAUAUAUGAAAGUAAAAUUUGGGUUUUUUUUUUCAAUUGUAAUAAAAAUUAUAUAUUAAAAAAAAAAACGUUUUUGUUCUCUUCUGUGGUAAGGAAAUGAGUUCUAAUUAAAUUUUUGUUUGGUAACAGUUAGUCAAGUCAUGGCUUACACUUAUUCAUUGAUAAUAGGCCACAUCAGCCUCUUGCUCGUGGCUUUCUUGCCAGUUGAUAAGAGUGACCGAGAGGCCAAAUAAAAUUGAUGAUAUUUGCAUAAAUCUAUAUAAUAACUUGAAAGUCAAGAUUGAUAAAAGGAAGAUUUCGGAUUAACAAUUUAACCCUAUUGACAGAUCGAUGUAGUAAGAGAUGGAACUGCCAUGAAACGGCUUGACCACAGUUGUUGUUUGCUGGUGUAGCACCAUCAAGAUUCACAUGAAAAAGCAAGGUGGUGAGUUCAUUGCUUUUUCGCUCUGCCAUAGCUUUUUGGUACUGAGAAUCUUGAUGAUGCUGCAUUGGCAAUAAACGACUAGCAAACCAAUAUGUAUGCUAUUCUUCAGUGAUGUCUGCCAGACGGGAUUUUGGUAUUUUUAUGGAUUAUAUACGAAUUCUUCCGUCCAGUACUAAUUACCAAAUAUGUUGUAAGUGCAUAUUUGAUAUGCCUUACUCAAUAUUAUUUUUCUAGUCUUGCUCUAUAUACCAAACACACCUUGGCUGUACUAUUUCACUUUUGUGUAUGGGUUUUGUGUCAGCUCUUUGUAGACAGACACAAGUGACUGCUGAUUGCUGAAGGACUUCACUCUGCAGAUCAAAUGCAUAGAUCUGUGAUUGUGCAGAAAAAGUCCUGAUGAAAUCUUUAUCAAUAUAAAGAUAAUCAGAAGUCAAAAAUUUUGGAGAAAUUCUUACAUAAACAGGUAAUUAUAUCUCAUUUUUGCUUAUUUUUCCACAUUCAUUAUUUGAUUCUUAUCAUAGUAUUGAUCAUGGCUUUUUUUCUCUUCUUUUUUUCUCCAGGAAGGUAACAGAUAUGUAAAUUCUCAUCAUCGUGGCAAAUGGACAUGUGACAUGGUAAUUGACAAGAAUUUGCAUUGCCAAGAAGAGGUGAGGACAGCUUUUUAGCUUUCUAUUAUUAGAUACACAACAUUAGAUCAAUCAACUAAAUAAAAACUUGUUAAAAUACGUGCUCUAAAUGCUGGUCGGGCAUAAGAAAGAUUUGUUUUUAUUUUACUUUGUCUUAUUUAACGGAGAUUCAAAGUAAAUUUGAUUGUUACAUGGACAGAAUUCAAAGUGGUGUGUUUUCUUGAGAAAAGUUAAUGGUUUCUUCGAAAAUUGCUACUUUUCUUGGAAAAAUUCAUGAUAGUAUUUAUGACAGACAUUGUUGGGGCUGGAUUGCUCUUAACAGUUAUCAUCAGUCCAGUUAAGUGGACCUAUUUAUUGCAACUUGGCAUGUACUCUUCCUCAGAGAAAUGUUCAGUCCACCAAUUUCUCACCGAAAUAAUAAUAUCAAAUUUUGCUCCUUCUUAUGACAAUGAUGGUUCAGAUAAUUUAUUUCAACACCUGUCUGCGUUCUGCGGUGGACUAUAUGAAUCUUUCUUUUUUGCUAACAUGUAUAAUGUGUCUAAAUAUGGAGUUAAGAAAAAGAAAAAUGGCUAAAUCUUUUGUUUGAAGCUUUUGAUUACUUGAUCUGGGUUAAUGUGAUAUUCAAGCAUGCAAUAUUGAUUUCAAGGGCAAGUUUUGUGCCUUUUCCCUUUAUCAAUGUGAAUUUUUAUUUUAUUUUUUCAACAUUUGUGUUUGAUAAAAAAAUUAAAAAAAAUGAACCCACCCACGAAAUCCAUAUGUGCCGGAGGUUUAACACUAGACAUAUGUUUGGCAAGUGUUUAUAAAUAAUUUCAAAAAAUGAAGUACAGGUAUCGAUAUGUAUAAUUUUUUAUGAUUGAAAUAACUAGAAAAAUGUGGUUUAACAUUAAAGAGCAGUGUAUGUUGUGCUUGUUUUAUUAAUUAGGGAUACGUGUGUGAUAAAAAAAAAUUAGCAAGGGAAACAUGCCAAAGAUAAAUCCCAUUAUUUUGGAAACUAGAAUAAAGAAUACAUUAGGAUUUAAUUUCUCGAAUUUAAUUUAUUUCCUUAUUUUCUUUCUAAUUUUCGCUGUUUGGGUAACUUUAUUUUUUUACAAAAAUCUUGUUUGGUACCUUUUUUUAAGGAAUAAAUGUGUGGUUGAAAAUUGUGUUAGGCGUUGGGGUUAGGUGAUUGUGUGGAUCCGACAAGUGAUUAUUUUUGUCAACUAACAAAUUUUUGAAUGAAAAUCGUCAGAGGUUCUUGCAUAGGACAUUUAAGGUUUGAGACCUUCAUUACAAUUUUUUGAAAGAUUUGGAACUUCCUAUGCAAAUUAUCUAUUUUUUAAUAAUUAAUAGAAGAUUGAAAGACUAUUUUGUCUUUUUUAAAAUUGAUGAGAUUAUGGUUAAACAUUGACUUUUGGUCAACUAACAAAUAUUUGGACUAAAAUCGUUCAAAAAUUCUUACACUGCACAAGUUUAAAAGAUUUGAGAAUCACUGAUCGAAGAUUUAAAUAAAACCCACAAAAAUUUAAAGAAUUUGAAACCGUUGCUACAAUUAUCCUUGAUAAGCAUGUUACUUUGUAUUUACAGGUGUUGCAUCUCAUUUUAUAAUAUUUAUUAAUUAAGUACUGCAUUAUCCAAAACUUUUAUUUUUUAAUCUAUGUCCAUUUUUGUCUCCACUUUCUCACUCUCUUUUCAAUAAAAUUAUUAUGCUUUUUCUCAUCAUGAACUUUUACCAGCUUUUUGUGUUACAGCUGCUUCGUUUGUGGACCAAAGAGAGGAAAGACUGUUGAUUUGACUACUGAUCCAAGAACACUAUUGAACGUAAACAUGUGAAAAUUAUUUUUCUCGUUGUAGUUCUUAGACAAAAGAGUCGCUCUAACAGACAUAUGGUAUAAUUUUUGCAAAGUAAGGCCAUCCAUAUUCGCCGUCGGAAUCAGAAAUACGGUCGUUGUUGGAUGAUUUGCAUACAAGUCGAGCUAGCGCAUGUCAUUCUAAAGCAUAAAGUAAAUACCGUUAUAAUAUUCGAUCAAGUGCUCAAAUUGGACUAACUCAACGAUCGUUGAGCUGAAGAAUAAUAAUAUUCAAAUCAAAUUCGAAGCUAAGUAAUAAGAUAAUGAAUAAUAUUCAAAUCGAGUGGGUAGUGACCUUUAACAUCCUUUUUGAGGCAUCUAGCUCAACGAAGCUCGCAAGAGUAGGACUUCUUCAUUCCUUAGAAACUAGGAAUCUCAGGGAAAAACUUGCCACAAGGGAGGAGUUGCGACAAGUUGCCAGCGAAUGAAAGCUCAGAUGUUAAACCCUUCAAACAGACUAAUGCCGUUAUUUCUGAGAAUUCUUUGCUGUGGCAUUUGAUCCUUGUUUUUCUCAUUCCGCAAAUGGUUAUUGUUAAGAGGAGAAAAUGGGUUCGAAUGGGGAAAGAAAGGAGCAAAAUAUUUUAAAACUAAAAUACCAUUCACUUAAUGGAGAAAUUGAAUAGAAAUGAAGGUAGAUGACAUUUUGAGCAAUCGAAUGUAUAAUCAACGAUGAAAAAGUCAUAAAAUGAAAGGUGAGAACUCUUAC